GAGGUUGGAAAAAAAAUGAAAAUUUUUUUGAAAAUUCCGAGAUUGGAAAAAAAAUGAGAUAAACUUAUCGUCGUGCUGGGGAUAGAUCAUUGUAAUUCUGGAUCUUGAACGAGGAAUUUCUAGUAAGCGCGAGUCAUCAGCUCGCGAUAAUUAC